rnacentral:lncRNA from 1 species
AUUUCAGAUGGCUGACAUCCAGAGGGAACUAGGGGACAGGAGAAGAAGAAGCUGGAGCAAGCUCAUGAUCCAGGGGAAGACUUCUCGUUAGGAAGUAAUUCCCAGAUUGAGAUGCAAAUGUUGAGAAGAGUCAACCAGACAGAAGAGGAGAUGAGUGUUCCGGCAGAGGAAGCUGUGUGGCUGAAACUUGCAGUCUUCAGGUUGAGAAUUCCUGUCCCUCUGUGUCCAGCAGACAAGUGCUACCUGAAGGCCAUGACGAAUUGAGACAAAAUUCUAACACUGCUACGUUAUUGAGAGAAAGGAUGAGAAGGAACUCAAGCGACUGGACCAACAGAACCGGUUCUUUGCAGAAGCAGAGGGGAGACCUGGACUUUGCUUUUCCUGCGGCCAUUAAGUUAACUGCCUGACCUUUGACAAAGUCUUGAGAGCUUCGCUUCGGUGCUGAAAACUAGGUUAUUCCUAAGGCUCCUUUCAAUUUUGAGAUCCUAUGACUUUAGGGAGUCGCCUCCAACACGUGAUUUGAACAGUAGAGAAAUAUCUUGCAGUCCACAUCUCAUAUGCAUCUGCAGCCACCAGACCUAAAAUCUCCAGGCAAGCCUCAAGGCUUCGAUGCUUCUGGAAUCACGAGUCCCCUUUGAAAAGGAUUUGCGAAGAACUACAGGACUUCUCUCGAGAGAAAUGGAGAGCUACAGGUGCACACAGCAGUUGCUGACAUUGUAGGGAGUCCACAGCAUCCUUAAAGCACAACCAUGGGGCCCCAUCUCCCUGCAAGAUGGAGUUUUGUUCUUGUUGCCCAGGCUGGAAUGCAAUGGCGCGAUCUCAGCUCACUGCAACCUCUGCCUCCUGGGUUCAAGCGAUUCUCCUGGUUCAGCCUCCUGAGUAGCUGGGAUUACAGGAAUGCGCCACCACACCUGGCUACUUUUGUAUUUUUAGUAGAGAUGGGGUUUCUCCACGUGCAUCAGGCUAGUCUCACACUCCCGACUUCAGAUGAUCCACCCGCCUCGGCCUCCCAAAGUGCUGGGAUUACAGGCGUGAGCCACCGUGCCUGGCCAAAGCCUUCUUCACUUUCAUUUUGUGGCUGCUGUUGUGAAAUCUGCAGAACCUCAAGCUGUUUGGACUCCAUCUUCUAGGUUGAAUUAGAUUACAGGUAAUCUCAUGGUGGAGGUGUAUUCUGGAUCGACUCACUUUUGAAAUGUUUAUGAAAGAAAUUCCUUCACCUCGGGACUUCCACACUGGAGCUGGCAAUCAGUAUCACCUUAAUUUACCUAUCACAGUGAGGCAUCUCUGCUCUGAGGAAAACAAAACAAAACAAAACAAAACAAAAAAGAAGAGCUAAUGGUUCUGUUUUGUUUUGUUGUUUUAGAGACAGGGUCUUGCUCUGUCGCCCGGGCUGGAAUGCAGUGACAUCAUCACAGCUCACUGUAGCCUUGAUCUCCUGGGCUCAAGCGAUCCUUCUGCCUCAGCCUGAGUAGCUGGGAUGGGACUACAGAUGCACGCCACCACACAUGGCUAAUUUUUUUAUUUUUUAGAGACGAGGUCCCAUGUGAGCCACGGUGCCCCACCUUUUAAAGCAAUUACCGUAAGGAAGCAACUGUCUUUAGCAAAUAGAAGAUCAUAAACAUCCUUCUGGAGAUCUUGAGAUGUUGACUGUGGUUUAUAGGGCAAUGAAAAUCUACAUACCUGAGUGGGGCAGUGAGACAUGAGUGCCACCUAUGAUCCUUCCAGUGAGCAAUUCUUUCUGGUGCCAGGAGCCCAAAGGAAACUCAGUCAACCAGCUGUAGAUGGGCUUGUUCCGAGUUUGUUCUAGAAGUCAGAACUGCCAGCUCUGAAAGUAGGUCACAAGUGACUGGCCAUCCCUGGGCUGCUCACAGGAAGUAGCUGCAAAGGUCAGGGAAAGUUUUUAAUGACUAUACAGGCCAGUGAAUGACAGGCUUUGAGGAGCUUCUCUUCUUGGCAUCUGAAACAGGCACAUGGAGGAGCUGCCUUGGAGACAGAAUGACAGCUGUGGCAAUGUGAGCCUGAUUCCUCAGCCCCAUAAAAUAGAUGCCUUUGCAAAAAACCCAUUUAUUUUUUUUUUUUUCUGUUUUUGAGAGGGAGUCUCGCUCUGUCCCCCCAGGCGGAGUGCAGUGGCGUGAUCUCGGCUCACUGCAACUUCUGCCUCCCGGGUUCAAGCGAUUCUCCUGCCUCAGCUCCCAAGUAGCUGAGAUUACAGGCAUCCGCCACCACGCCUGGCCAAUUUUGUAUUUUAGUAGAGACGGGGUUUUGCCACAUUGGCCAGGCUGGGAAAAAGCCCAUUUCUAUACAGAGGAAUCAUCUUGCAGGACUCAAGGAAUGAUUAAGAGGAAUCUACAGCAUUAACUUUAGAAACUCGAUGCAAUAUUCCCAAGAGGAGUUAAGAUUGGGAUAAGUAAUCUCUGAAUUAAUUUCAACCUUGAGAUGUUGUGAUCCUAUGAAGUCAAAGACAUAUUUCUUUUUUCUUUGUUUGAGAUGGAGUCUUGCUCUGUCACCCAAAUUGGAGGGCGGUGAUGUGAUCUCGGCUUACUACGACCUCUGCCUCCUGGGUUCAAGCGAUUCUCAGCUUCAGCCUCCUGAGUAGCUGAGAUUACAGGUGCCCGCCACCAUGCCCGGCUAAUUUUUGUAUUUUUAGUAGAGAUGAGGUUUCACUGUGUUGGCCAGGCUGGUCUUGAAUUCUUGGCCCCAGGUGAUCUGCCCGCCUGGGCCUCCCAAAGUGCUGGGAUUACAGGAGUGAGCACCAUGUCCGGUCUAGAUACAUAUUUCUAUUAAUACACAUUUGCAGGGAUUGUUUGUUACUGAAGUUGACGCCUUGUGCUUGAGAAUGCUAUUUCACUGACACAAUUGUUAUGGUAUAAAUGUGAGAGUAUAGUUACAAUCUGGACACUAUUUUUUGCUUGUCUUAUUGGCCCAGCAACCAGCUUGACACUGGGGACUAUCAGGCUCCAAAUAAUAACCAAUGUCUCACUCCAAACAGACAGGAUACUACGGAGCCAGGGUCAGCAAACAUUUUCUGUAAAGGGCCAGAUAGUAAAUAUUUUGGGCUUUGUGGGCCCUAUGGUCUCUGUCACAACGAUUCAACUCUGCUGUUGUAACAAAAAAGCAGUCAGACAAUAUGUAAAUGAAUGGGCAUGGCUGUGUUCCAGUAAAACCACAAAAACAGGCAGCUAGCUUUGGUGUGGGGCCCUAAGAGCUUGGACUUUGAAGCCAGGUUCAAAUCCUGGCUUUCUCACCUUCUAGCUCCGUUACCUUAAAGAACUUCAUUAUCUUCCUUGUAUUUUAGUCUUUUCAUCUCUAAAUUAGUGAUAGUACUUAACAGUGUUGUUAUAAAGAUUAAACGAGUUAAGUUUGUAAAGUACUUAAACAGUGCCUACCAGGUAGUAAGUGCUAUAGCAGAGUGUGUUAGAUAAUGAAACAUCCUGUGCUGUGGAUAUAUUAUUCCCAUUACGAUUUGGAUUCAAAUAAAGAAAUACAUGACUUAGAAGA